GUCGGAUCGUCCAACCAUGUUCUAAAGAUCAUCUUCCGUAGAAGGAACUGUGGGUGACAGUGGCAAUUGAAUCAUUAUCAGCUCGGUUGAGGGGAUAGCAUUCGUUGUCACUUGUCUCAUUGAAUUCCAUCUUUUCAUCCAAAAAAGGUGGAUUAGUAGGUGCAGGGAGGUCUUCAUCUUUCUUUGUUAGCAAGUGUAGUACCUUCGACAUUGAUGGUCUUAGUGACGGGAUCUCUUGGGUGCAAAGAAGUCCAAUUUGUACCGCUCUGAAAAUUUCAUUCCUAACGUUGCUGCCAUUGUUGUCAUUGUGUAACAUUAGAUUUGGGUCAUAAAUCUCCUCCACAGUCCCUAACUGAAAAUGUCUCCAAGUCUGCUCCAUCACACGCAACAAAAACACAUAUAAGAAAUCCUUUGUUCUCGAAUGAAAGUCAGCUAGUUAAGUGGUGGUUCAAGUAGGAGAACAGUGGCAGAUUUAGAACAAGGGACUGAAGCUUACAACUGUUACUAUGCUGUCUGAAUAUUCUGUUGCUUUGCUCUUGUUGUUUUGCUUCCCUGUAACUAUUUCGAGUAAAAGCACCCCGAAACUAUAGACAUCUGCUUUCUCGGUUAACUGGCCAUGGGCUAGGUACUCCGGAGCCAUAUAUCCUCUGUAAAAUUUGAAAAUUUAGAACUAUUAGCCAAUCUAUAGUGAAUCAUGCCUGGAACAGACAGGACAGGAGGAAUGUGAUCCUUACAGGGUCCCGGCAAUGGCAGUGCUGAUGUGACUCUGAUCUUCCUGGAAAGACCUUGCCAACCCGAAGUCGGCAAUUUUAGCUCGCAGCUUCGAAUCCAACAAGAUAUUGCUAGCUUUUAUAUCUCUGUGAAUAAUUUUGGCCUCGGAGUUCUCAUGAAGAUAAACUAAACCUUCUACAGUUCCAAUAAUAACUACGUAUCUCUUCUCCCAAUCAAGUAAUUUGCCUCUGCUGGGAUCUGUUAUGUUUUUGGAAGGAAAAAGAAUUCUGUUAGUGAACAUAUUUAAAUAUUAUUUUAAGCUUGGUGUCAUCGAUAUAUGUAAAGUAUCGGUAUUUACCAAAGAUGAAGCGAUCCAAGCUCUUGUUUGGGAGGAACUCAUAGACGAGAAGACUUUCAGGUCCCGAACAACUACAUCCCAACAAUCUGACCAGGUUUUUAUGCUCCACACUGCUUAUAAGUUUGACUUCAUUGUAGAAAUCGGCUGCCCUAUGUCGAUUGUUAAAGAACAACCUUUUGACAGCAAUCUCUCUUCCAUCAGGUAGAACUCCCUACAGAGACACAAAACGAAAUAUCAGACCAUAAAACAAAGGAAGAAUGCCAAAGACGAGCAAUGGUGUUCAGAGGAAUAGAAUAAGUGCCUUAUAAACCGUCCCGAAUCCUCCUUGCCCAAGCUUGUUGGCAUCAUUGAAAGAUCCCGUAGCACGAUCGAGUGUAGAGUACUUGAAGUUUAAGUUGCUAUCAUGAAGGAGUUUCACAAAUUUUUCUGAAUCAUUUGAACCUGAAAAUGAAGGCAACCCGUUUUAACCAAAAGGAAGACGUGGAAAACUAGGUAACACAAUUUUGGAAUCAGUACCAUAUUAUUAACCCCAAACUUGCCUAACCACAAAACCAUGUAAUUGAAUAAUUCAUAUAACCUUGACCGACUUACGUUACCUAGAUUCAGAGCAGAAUGUUUAGUGCAGGGGUCUCAGCAUCGGCAUGCUUAAUUUAUUGCUCUCAUAUUUUUAUCCCUUUAUUGUCGUUUAUUUAUUUUUUGUGCAUGGGAAUUUGAUAGGUAAAUCUUGUAAAUAAACAUUUUACCUCGUCUUUUCUUUUGUAUGUAUCUGUACUUCCAGAUAUAGACUCCAAUAGCAACUCCGAUCGCCAAAACAAUCAGGGAACUGACGAUAGAAACUACUAUGAUUAUAACGGUUCCUGAAGUUCACCAAUCCGAGUUUCACAGUCAGCUUUAAAUAAAUGAAAAAAAGGAUUAACGCAUUAAUUAACUAAUAUUUGAAAGAGUGAGAUGUGAUAAUUACCUCUUGAUAUUCCAUUUCCGGGUUCUUUAUUGAGGAAAUCUGUAUCAGAGUACCUGAUGAAGCAGCCAGUGUUGAGUGCGCGUCCCUCCGACCAAGGCAAGCACCCUAGUACCGAUGCUGAUGCAUUCUCUAGACAUGUUUUACAAGAAGUAUUGUUUAAUGUCCUCCAGCAAUUAGCCAAAACAUAAGCCGACUCAUUUGUGCCCGAAACUGCCACCUGAGCCUUAGCAUACCCUUCAUUUCCCAAUGCAGCAGCAACUGCAUGCGACACUGCCUGCCGUGCUGAUUCUUGAAAAUUCAACCCUUUGCGGCUUGUAUUCCCGCACACUGCCCUGUCGUCUGGUCCUGUGUGCUCCUCAAAGAAGCUAUAAUUCUCGGCUCUCAUGAAGCAUCCGUCGAGAAAAAUGCGACCCCCGUUGAACGGAUAGCAUUGAGGAAGAACCGUACGUGCCUCGGCAUAGCACAAUACGCAGUCAAGCGACGAUAGAUCCCCAUAACACUGAGCAAGACCAUAGUUCGUAUCAAGCCCAGAACCUGUAACUGCUGUCCCAAAGCCUGAAUCACGCAUCUGUUCACUGAUAUUCUCCAUUGUAGCAACAAAGUUAGAAACAUAGAUGGUCCCGUUGUGCUCAAGUUGGUGGCCACAUGAAAUAUUCACUGUUUUGGCUCUUGGAUCUCCUUUCACUCCUUCAAGUAAUGCCAGAAACCCCAUAAGAACCAAGAAAAUAUAUCCAGAACCGACUACCUGAACUGGUUUAUCCAUUUUUUACGGUUACUUUGAAGGUUAGAGAAGCUAAAUCAUCUACUACAAGGCUCAAGACAUUGGUCAAGUUCCAUCAACAGUGAAUUUAUCAAUGAACUGAAAAGAAAAUGCAAAUCAUAGAGAUACCAAAGAAAAAGAUAAAUACAAAUUGAGAAAUACCAAAGAAAUUGAAAAAUUGUUGUAAAAUUAAUUGUCCUUGGCAAUUUUGUCAAAGAACUGACCACGAAAGGCGAGAGAAAAUGGCCCACCUGGAAAACUAGAUUGAAUUGAAUAAGUAAUUAAAAAAUAUGGCAAGGUAUCGUGUUCAUAUUGGGUCAUCUCGAAACAGAGACAAGCUACUCGGCAGUUGUCUGUCAUACAAAGGGCUCUUAAAUUCAAAUUGACUCAACUUGGUCUAAAUAUUUUAUUACCUUUGAAAUAUAACAGGAGUGAAUGUAACCUAAUUCAGAAAACACUUUUAACGUAUUUAAUCCCAAUCUAAUUAUUAAAAUUAAUACAACUACCAGUUAUUGGUGUUUAGAAAUGUCGGUACCACCCACGUUUAUAGUAGAACACGUUGCAAUAGGACCCGAUUAUUAUAAAUGUCACGGCAUUUUCCAAUAUUAAAACAAAAUUCAUAUAAAAAUGUUUUAUUCCUCUUUUAAAUUAAAACAUGUCAUUAGUUUUUUAAUAUAUUUCAUCCAUGUAUGAAUAUUUGUUUCUUUAAAGAAAACAGAUGGUAAGAAAUGAUUGGAAACCUUUCAUAACUUGAUAAAUAACAAUCAAAAUUUGGAUGGUAUAAAUAAAAAGAGAAGCUGCAAAAGAAGAUCGUUUGGCUUGUUGCACUUGCUGGCUUAACUGAGCCAUACCCAUAAAAGCAUUAAUCAACAAAAACAGAAGGCAUAGGGUCGGUUGUUCAAAGCUCAAACUGACAAUUAAUCCCAAAUGAAUGUAGAAUUGUCUGUUUUAUUCUUCGACCAAAUUAUUAAUUAUGUCUACAACUCAAGAUAUAUCAGAUCACAUAAACACUUUGAUUUAAGACCCAGAAAACAACAACAGAUCUACAAAUACCAUAAACAGAAAAAGAACUUACCUUAAGUGCAAUGAACAGCAAACAACUUGACUCGCAGAAAAGAAGAGCAACAAUUGGAAUGCAGAAGUGGAAGUGAGGAUUAGCUUAGGGUUUAAAAUUCAAAGCAAGAAGCUGAUUUCCUGCGCGUUAGUGAAGCGGUGGGAAGUGGGACGCCAACCUUUUAAGAAACAAGACAAAAGCCAGGCAAGUAAAAUAGAGAAUAGGAAAAGGGAAGAAAACCACGGUAAGAGAGUUGAAUUUUUUUCUUCUUUUAUACGAAGAAAUUCCCUUGUCUCUGCAAUAUUUCUUGUCACGUAACAUGUAUUAGUGAAUUUUGUGUAAAUUAACUCACACUGCUCACUCAUCUAAAAGUUCUUUUCAAACAAAUUUCAGAUGGGUUUUCAUAAAGAAAUGAAAAUUCGUCAAGGAAUAGAUUCAUUGGCCUCUGCCCAUUAAUUUGGUAUGGUGUUUUUAUCAUUCCAUUUUCCAGAAAAGAAUAUAAUAAACAAUUAUACCAUGUUUGGUUAGAGUUUUUAUUUUUCAUAUGUUUCUGUCAUUAUUUAGUUCUAAACUAUUUAUAAUCGGUAAUUUAUUAAGCUUUGCGAGCUUGAUGUGUUAAUUGUUUAAAACGCGUAGGUAAAAUAACUAUUCUGAGAAGCUAUCAUGUAUUGGGAGAAUCACAUUUCCAUACAAGAUUUGAUUGGUUUAGAGAAUUUAGCUUGUAUUAGAUGAGCUUAAAAUGAUAUAUACAUAGAUUAAGUGUAUUAUUUAUUACGCUUGUAAGCUUUGUGGUGUUUUCUUGAUAUGUAUAAUAUUUUCAAUAUUUUCAAGAUAAAAUGGUGUUGAAUUCUUUUAACCGUGUUGUCAAGAUAAAUGUGUGCUUAAAUUUGUUUUGAGGUGUCCAAAAGCUUUCAAAUUUUAGAAUAGUGUUUACUUAGAUUAAUCUAAAUCAUUUACAUGAUAAAUUUUGUUAAAAAGAAAUUUUAUAAAUGUGAAGAUUAUCUCAAUGUGACACCAUUCAUCUGUAUUGAUCAUUGAUGCGAGUAAGGGGUGUUACAUUGACUCUUCGCACAACCUCUAAUCACUAUGUUAAUCGUCAUCUUCUCUUACACUAUUCUCUUUAUAUCGACAAUUUGGUUUGGUGAGUGUGGUCGGCAUGACUCAUCCUGUUAGCUUUAAUUUUUUAAUAUUUUGAUAUAACAAAUAAUCCAUCAUCAAAAGUCAUAUACCCAAGUAUUAGCUUUCAGUUCUAUUAAUUAUCAAUUAAACACAGGCUUUCAGUAUAUCAAAAUAUACGAGUUAGGCGCACAUAAUCCAUCACUUACUUUGGAUAGAGGUAAGACACUUUAUGAAUGUCAUUGAUGAAUAAAUCUUUAAACAAAUCUAGGAUUUAUUCUACUUGAGUCUUGUCUAAUGUAUUGUGAAUCCAAACAAUCACAUUUAUAUUUUUACAUUUUGAGAGUCAGUUGCUACGAUACCUAAGACAAAAUAUUUUCCUAAUUGGACUUGAUAAAUGGCAUAAUAGGCUUUUAAUCAAUUUGCUCAAUUCCAAUUAGACUAUGGAUCAUUUAUAUUACCUACUAAUAUAAGCUAUCUUAUCACAUAAUAAUCUAAUCACAUAAUGCAACUUAAUAUGAAUUAAACAUCAAAUAGUCAUUGAGCCAAUAUUUACUUGUUUAUUUUUCUUUGCGUGCAAAAAUCAUUGAAGACAAAUACAAACAAUACUAAUGUAAAUAAUAUAAUUUUAUUAAAUCAAUCUAUUCAAAAAAGUACAAUUACAUAUAAUAAUAAUAAUAAUAAUAAAACAACUUUAAAGACAUUAGAUGGUAAUAGAGAAUUACAAGCUUAUGAAAAUUUUAGAACUUAAAAGCCAAAUCGUGAAAAAGGGUCUUAAAAGGUGUAGAUAAUUUUAAAUUGUACUCAAAGUUAGUGUUUGUUAAUGGGAUAUUUUUGGUUAAUCUCGACGUGUAUUUUUUUACUCUUUCGCUGAUAGAAUUAUAUGUAAAAAAUGUUGCAUCACAAACUUUGGAAUUAAAGAAGCUGAUUUCUUGUAUCUACAGCAUUAUGUUUAAAAGUAUUUUCUUCAAACUUGUAUUAUUUUGAGUGAACUUUCUUUUAAAUUUUUAUUUGAGGUUGCCCUAUGUUAAAUUAAUAACAUUGUUAAACUAAGGGAAAUUUAGUGGAUUAAAAUGGAUAAAUUUGAUAUAGAAGGAGUUAAGAUUAAAAUAUUUACUAGGUAAUAAUUUUUUAUGUGUUUUUCAAGGUUAAAUGAUUUAUAAAUCAUUUGGGAGCACAUAUUAGAUACAUCAUAUAAAAGCAAUUCUGAUAUGUAGAAUCUCAUUAAUUUAAAAAGGGAGGGGUGAUUGAACGGAUUGUAUUUGUUGUGUUAAAGCAUGAAACAUAUUGCAAUCAUUUCAAUAUUUACUUUUGUAGGCAUCCAAACAUAGCAUUGCUAUCAAUUAAUUGUUUCCAGAAAGAUUUAAAGACGCCAAUCCGUUGGUAACAGUAUGGGCACUUGUACUAUGAUGGGAAUUUGCCAGCAUGUUAUUGCACUUCUUGUUUUGGUGGCAAUGAGCAAGUGUGCUACACAUUCACUUGUUUAUGUUAGAAUUGUGCAACCAGUGCUCUUCCUAAAUUGCUAUAGAUGGUAUUUUGGGGCCAUUUUCAUCCUAUGCAAAUCGUUUUGUUUUGAAAAUUUUAUUUUGAUUACUUAAUUUGAUAUUGUAACAGGCUUAUUUUGCCCAGCCCGAGCCCAAAUCAAUAAAAAAACACAAAUAUAAAAUAAAGUCCAAAAUUAUUAAAGUCUAUUUACAACAUCAAAAGCCCUAAUUUCAUCAAACCCAUCAUGUCAGCCCAAACCACAAUUAAACAGAAACAAACCCAUUACAAACCCUAACCUAGCCCAUGUAACACCCCUUACUCGUAUUCCGGCUCGGAACAGAGUAUGAGGUAUUACUAAGUUUUUUAAAAAAAAUUUCGACAGCAUUUCUGCUUAAUUUUGCUUAAACCUCCUGCAAAUUUAAAUCACAAUCCAAUAUAUAUAUAUCAACCAAACUCAUUUAUAAUAAUACUCACAAUUUAACUAUUAAUGAACACCACAUUUUAAAUCAAACCAUAACAUAUAUUUACAUGAUGAUUCCAUAUUUCAUAGGUCGUCUUUACAUGCCAUAAUUUUCCGGAACGAUAGUAGCAAAAUACCCCAAGUGUGAAGGAUAGUGUGGAUGAUUGUCUGACUUCGUUCCAAAUUUCCGAGUUGUCAGAAGUCACUCGGUGCAAAAUAUCGUAAUUUUGCACUUCACUCCACUAUCUUUUCUUUUCCUCGUUUGAGAUAAUCUUCACGUCUUUCUUGAUUAUGAGCUUGAGAAAGCAAAGAAACCUUAGCUAUGGCUUCCUUCAAAUUUCGGCAGCAACUAAUGAGGAAGAUGAUGAUUUUUGUCAUCUUUUUCCCAUUUUAUUUUUUUUUUAUUACCAAAUGACUAAUAUGCCCCCACUUAAAAAAAAUCUAUUUCUCUCAUUUCUUAUGUCUAUUUUUGUCCAUCAACUAACUAAUGGUCUAAUUACCACAUAAAGACCUCCAAUUUAAAAUUUCAUAUCAAUUAGAUACUUCUACAUAUAGAACUCAACUUUUGCACUAUUUACAAUUUAGUCCUUUUGACUAAAUUGAGUGCCCAAACGUCGAAAUUUUCGAACGAAAUUUUUACGAAAAUUUUCCGUGAAAUUGUAGACCAUAAAAAUAUAAUAAUAACCAUAUUUUCCCUCGUCGGAUUUGUGGUCCCGAAACCACUAUUCUGACUAGGCCCAAAAUCGGGCUGUUACAACUCUCCCCCUUUAAGGAUUUUCGUCCCCGAAAAUCUUACCGGAAAAGAGAUUUGGGUACUGUUUCCUCAUAAUUUCCUCCGGUUCCCACGUAGCUUCCUCCAUCCCAUGUUUUUGCCACAGUACUUUUACUAAGGAUACACUUUUAUUCCUUAACUGCUUGACUUCCCGAGCCAAAAUCUUUAUUGGUUCUUCCUCAUAAGUCAUAUCUGGUCUGACCUCAAUCUCUGUAGGGGAAACUAUAUGUGAAGGAUCCGAACGGUAACGUCGCAACAUCGACACAUGAAACACAUUAUGUAUCUUUUCCAACUCCGGUGGUAAAGCUAACCGAUAUGCUACAGGGCCAACUCUCUCGGUAACUUCAUAUGGUCCAAUAAAUCGUGGACUUAGUUUGCCUUUACGACCAAAUCUCAGAAUCUUCUUCCAUGGAGACACCUUCAAGAACACCUUAUCACCUACUUGAAACUCAAUUUCUUUUCUCUUUAAAUCCGCAUACGACUUUUGCCGAUCUGAGGCAGCCUUUAAACAGUCACGAAUUAUUUUCACCUUUUUUUCAGUUUCUUUCACCAAGUCGACUCCAUGAAUCCGGUUCUCACCGAGCUCAGUCCAAUAUAAAGGAGUUCUACACUUACGCCCAUAUAAUGCUUCAUACGGUGCCAUUCGUAUACUUGACUGAUAGCUAUUGUUAUAAGCAAAUUCAACCAAUGGUAGAUAUUUCUCCCAACUGCCUUUCAAUUCUAAAAUACAACACCGGAGCAUAUCUUCAAGAAUUUGAAUCACUCUUUCUGAUUGCCCGUCAGUUUGCGGAUGAAACGCAGUACUGAAAUUCAAUUUUGUACCCAAGGCUUCCUGCAACUUUAUCCAAAACCUCGAAGUAAAUCUCGGAUCUCUAUCCGAUAUAAUAGAUUUAGGCACCCCAUGUAAUUUCACUAUUUCAGCAACAUAUAAUUCUGCCAACCUGUCAAGUGAGUAAUCAAUGCGUAUCGGAAUAAAAUGAGCCGACUUUGUCAAUCUAUCAACAAUUACCCAAAUAGCAUCUUUCUUCUUUGGAGUUAAAGGCAAUCCUGUCACAAAAUCCAUCGUAAUACUAUCCCACUUCCACUCUGGAAUCGUUAUCGGUUGAAGUAAACCCGAUGGUACUUGAUGCUCAGCCUUCACUUGUUGACAGAUUAAACACUUUGAUACAAAUUCCGAGAUAUCCUUUUUCAUGCCUGGCCACCAAUACAACUUCUUCAAAUCAUUAUACAUUUUCACACUACCCGGAUGAACUGACAAGUCACCACUAUGUGCCUCACAUAAAAUGGUCUGAAUUAACUCAUCAUUUCUUGGUACACAUACUCUAUCCCGGAACAUCAAGCAAUCAUCUGAACCAAUUUGAAAAUCUGAGUCAACACCUGCUUCACACUGAGCUCUCUUGGCUUGCAAUUUACUGUCAUUCUUUUGAGAUUCCCGAAUUUGCUGAAGAAAUAAUGGUCUAGCUCUCAAUUCAACCAACAUUGAGCCAUCAUCAGAUAAAGUUAACAUCGUACCCAUAGCUCUCAAAGCAAAUAAAGAUUUUCUACUCAAGGCAUCAGCAACCACAUUAGCUUUCCCGGGGUGAUAAUCAAUCACUAGCUCAUAGUCUUUGAUUAGCUCGAGCCAUCUUCGUUGCCGCAAAUUCAAAUCUUUUUGGCUCAUCAAAUACUUCAAACUCUUAUGAUCAGUGAAGAUUCGGCACUUUUCACCAUACAAAUAAUGACGCCAAAUUUUUAAAGCAAAAACAAUGGCAGCCAAUUCUAAAUCAUGCGUCGGAUAAUUCUUCUCAUGCGGUUUCAAUUGUCUCGAAGCAUAAGCUAUUACUUUGCCCUCUUGCAUUAACACACACCCAAGACCAUUCAACGAUGCAUCACUGUAAAUUACAAACUCCUUCCCGGACUCAGGUUGCACCAACACUGGCGCCUCAGUCAAUAAUGCCUUCAACUUUUCAAAACUCUGUUGACAUUUAGUGGUCCAUUCAAACUUGACAUUCUUCUGCAGUAACUUAGUCAUAGGAGAAGCAAUCAUCGAAAAUCCCUUGACAAAGCGUCUGUAAUACCCAGCUAAGCCCAGAAAGCUUCUAACUUCUGUCACAUUCUUUGGUGGCUCCCAAUCAACAAUUGCUGAAAUUUUGCUUGGAUCAACCCGAAUACCUUCACUUGAAACUAUAUGUCCCAAGAAUCCAACCUCACGAAGCCAAAAAUCACUUUUGCUGAAUUUAGCAUACAAUUUCUUUUCUCUCAGAAUCUGCAACACAGUUCUUAAAUGUUCUGCAUGCUCAGAUUCAUCCCGAGAAUAGAUUAAAAUAUCAUCUAUGAACACCACCACGAACUUAUCCAAGUACGGCCGAAAAAUUCGGUUCAUCAAGUCCAUAAAAAUAGCUGGAGCAUUUGUUAACCCAAAAGGCAUUACCAGAAAUUCAUAGUGUCCAUACCUUGUUAUAAAGGCGGUUUUCGGCACAUCAGACUCUUUAACUCUUAACUGAUAGUAACCAGACCUCAAAUCAAUCUUAGAAAACACUGUUGCCCCUUUUAAUUGAUCAAAUAAAUCAUCAAUUCUCGGCAAAGGAUACUUGUUCUUUAUAGUCACCUUGUUGAGCUGACGAUAGUCAAUACAAAGUCUCAUAGAGCCGUCUUUUUUUUCACAAAUAACACAGGAGCACCCCAAGGAGAAAAACUCGGUCUCACAAAUCCUUUAUCUGUCAACUCUUGUAACUGAGCUUUUAAUUCCUUCAACUCAGUCGGAGCCAUUCGAUACGGUGCAAUAGAAAUCGGUGCAGUACCAGGUAACAGAUCAAUAGAAAACUCAACUUCUCUAAUCGGAGGUAACCCAGGCAAUUCCUCUGGAAAUACAUCUGGAAAUUCACAAACUACCGGCACUGAUUCAAGCUUUGACCCAGUAAUAUCCGUGUUCAGCACAUAAGCAAGAUAAACUUCACAUCCCUUUCUCAAGUAUUUCUGAGCAGACAUGUGCGAAAUCACCAUAGGCAACUUAUUCGGCUCCUUUGUUUCAACCCGGAGAAUUUCACCGUUUUCACAAUUUAAUUCAAGAAUUUUCUGUCUACAAUUUACCUUGGCAUCAUGCAAUAUCAACCAAUCCAUCCCCAAAAUAACAUCAAACUCAUCAAAUGGUAACAACAUCAAAUUAGCCGGGAAACAGUGACCUUGAAUCAUCAGGGGACAAUUCUUGCAAACCUUAUCGACUAAGACAUAUUUGCCUAAAGGAUUUGAUACUUUAACUACAAAUUCAGUGUUUUCAACAGGCAAUUUCUUACUAGACACCAAAUUCAUGCAUAUAUAUGAAUGAGUAGAGCCGGGAUCAAUCAAAGCAAUAACAUCAAUAUCAUGAAGAGAAAAUGUACCAGUAAUCACAUCGGGAGAUGAGGCAUCCUCUCGAGCGCGUAUAGCAUAAGUCCUGGCAGGCGCUCUAGUUUCUGAUCCUCCAGCUGCAUCUUUUAUCACACUCUUACCACUGGCUUUGCUUCCCACAUUUCUCGGUGGUCUGCCUCUACUGACAACAUCACCCGAUCCAGCUCUUUGUAAUCUUUCUUCUUCUAUUCUCUCAGGGCAGUCUUUUACAUAAUGCUCUUGGGAACCACAUCUGAAACAAGCUCGUUUAAAUCCCCAACACUCACCAGUAUGUCGCCUGCCACACUGUUGACAUUCAGGUCUGGUGUUUCCUACAUUACCCACACUUGCCACUGAGGUAGCUCGAGUUGUAGUUCCGGAAUAUGACCUCCCUCUGUCUCUGCGUGAAUACCCAACUGAACCGGUUGGUCGUGGAUCCAUCCCUUUAAACUUCUUCGGGUGAGAUUGAAAUGUUCUGCCCAUUGACCUCUUCCUUACAUCUCGAGCUUCCAUCUCUGCCCUUCUCUUUUCUCUACUCAGCUCUUCAGCUUUGCAAGCACGAUCAACUAGUACCACAAAUUCUUUUAACUCUAAAAUUCCAACAUGUAAUCUGAUGUCUUCAUUUAGCCCCUCUUCAAAUCUUUUACACAUAAUAGCCUCCGUAGGCACACAUUCCUGGGCAUAUUUACUAAGCCGGACAAACUCCCGUUCAUAUUCUGCUACUGACAUUCGGCCCUGUUUCAAUCCGAGAAACUCUUUGCGCUUCUGAUCAAUAAACCGUUGGCUUACAUAUUUCUUUCUGAAUUCUUCCUGAAAGAAGUCCCAAGUAACUCUUUCUUUUGGAACCACCGUUAUUAAUUUUUUCCACCAACGGUAUGCCGAAUCCUUCAAUAAAGACACAGCACAUUUCAAACAUUCCUCAGGAGUACAAGAUAAUUCAUCAAAUACCUGGAUAGUAUUUUCAAGCCAAAACUCAGCUUUUUCCGGAUCAUCAUCAACAUUGGCCCUGAAAUCUUCAGCCCCAUGCUUUCGAAUUCUAUCAACGGGUGGUUUACUUGAUCUCACCAAUUCAGCACUUCGUGGAGCUACGGGGACCGGCGGAGGAAUAGGAGGGGGUGGAGGAGGUGGAACAUUCGGAUUUACACGGACAUAUUCUGUAUACCAAUCACUCAUCAUUCGGAGGAAGGCUUCUCGAGCCUCAUCCUGUCCAUGUGUCUCAUGUCUACUCUCUUCAUGCGCGGUCCCUUGUGCGGGAACCGGCGUGUUACUUUCAACAUCAUCUGCCAUACUUCGAUUAGGAUCCAUUUACUAUAUAAAACAAAUUUUUAAAUUGUCAGAAAUCAUCACACUAUCACAAUAUAUUGAUGGCAUGUAUAGACUGACUUUCACACAUAUUUUAUUGGUCCGAGAACCGACUAAACCGUAGCUCUGAUACCACUAAAAUGUAACACCCCUUACUCGUAUUCCGGCUCGGAACAGAGUAUGAGGUAUUACUAAGUUUUUUAAAAAAAAUUUCGACAGCAUUUCUGCUUAAUUUUGCUUAAACCUCCUGCAAAUUUAAAUCACAAUCCAAUAUAUAUAUAUCAACCAAACUCAUUUAUAAUAAUACUCACAAUUUAACUAUUAAUGAACACCACAUUUUAAAUCAAACCAUAACAUAUAUUUACAUGAUGAUUCCAUAUUUCAUAGGUCGUCUUUACAUGCCAUAAUUUUCCGGAACGAUAGUAGCAAAAUACCCCAAGUGUGAAGGAUAGUGUGGAUGAUUGUCUGACUUCGUUCCAAAUUUCCGAGUUGUCGGAAGUCACUCGGUGCAAAAUAUCGUAAUUUUGCACUUCACUCCACUAUCUUUUCUUUUCCUCGUUUGAGAUAAUCUUCACGUCUUUCUUGAUUAUGAGCUUGAGAAAGCAAAGAAACCUUAGCUAUGGCUUCCUUCAAAUUUCGGCAGCAACUAAUGAGGAAGAUGAUGAUUUUUGUCAUCUUUUUCCCAUUUUAUUUUUUUUUAUUACCAAAUGACUAAUAUGCCCCCACUUAAAAAAAAUCUAUUUCUCUCAUUUCUUAUUUCUAUUUUUGUCCAUCAACUAACUAAUGGUCUAAUUACCACAUAAAGACCUCCAAUUUAAAAUUUCAUAUCAAUUAGAUACUUCUACAUAUAGAACUCAACUUUUGCACUAUUUACAAUUUAGUCCUUUUGACUAAAUUGAGUGCCCAAACGUCGAAAUUUUCGAACGAAAUUUUUACGAAAAUUUUCCGUGAAAUUGUAGACCAUAAAAAUAUAAUAAUAACCAUAUUUUCCCUCGUCAGAUUUGUGGUCCUGAAACCACUAUUCCGACUAGGCCCAAAAUCGGGCUGUUACAGCCCAAACCCAUAACAGAAAAAACAAAAAUUUUCAAACCCUAGGUGCGCCGCACCUAGGUCUUCUUCCCUAGCCAUCAGCCACCGCCCCUAGCAUCAACCACUCCAACUGCUCUGCCGCCAACCACCCUGCAAAGAAGAAAGAACAUGCAAGAUCAGUAGCAAAAAAGGAAGGAAAAACAGUAUUUGUAAAUCGGCUAUAAAGCCAUAGAAACCGAUUUGUAAUGGGGGGAUUUUGGGAAUAAAAAAUAAGGAGAUUGUGAAUGUAAAAUCAGUGUUUUCAAGCAUAUAUUUGAAUACAAAAAAAAAAGCAUUGAAGAAAAAAAUAGAUUCAAAGGUGCCAAAGUCCCCCUUUCUUUUUUCUUUUAUUUUCAUUUUUUGACUACACAUACAUACAUGUUUUCUCUAUUUAAAAAAAACAAUAUAUAUUUAUAUAAAUAUAGCAAUAAAAAAUAAAAAAUUUACCUUUUUUCGAUUUCUGGCGACCGGAGCCCUAUUGGCCGAUGAAGAAGGGAGAAGGGAGAUAAAAGGGGUUGAGAGAGUUUUUUAAACUCCUUUUGUUUUGAAGGCUGAAAAAUGAAAUUUUUUAUAAUUUUUUUGCUUUUAUAAGUGCACAAAACGGCGCCAUUUUGGUGUCAGCAUACAUAGGCCAAAACGACGCCUUUUUGGCCUCAACCCGCGCAUGCGACCCGACCCGCUAGGGGAUUAGCGCUUUUUUGUUCUGAUAGGCUAUUUACGCCCGCGGUCCUUCCACAUUUUUGUUUUCUUUUAAUUUAAUCCCUUUUUUAUUGUCCUUUUAUUUUUUAAAUUUGGCCACGCAAAUUUUCUUGGUGUUCAAUUCGGUCCCUAAUGCGCGGAUGAGCUGGGUGAUGGACACGUGUCCGGAGGCUGGGUAUUUUACCCGUUUAGUCCUCAAACCUUGGACAUCUUUUAUUUUUGACCCUGUAUUUUUAUUUUAUUAUAGUUUUUAUCUUUGAUUUCAUUUUUGUUCCAAUUUAGUCCUUGAGCAGUUUGGUUUUUAUCCUUUUAUUAUUUAUUAUUUUUUAUAUGCAUUAUUUAUUUUGGUAUAUUAGCUCUUUAACUGUAUUAUGAACCAUGUAUUUAAAUUUGCUUUACCGAUUUUAUAUUAAACUCACUUAUUUUAUUUAUUUUAAAUAUCCUCUUUUAUUGAUUAUUAAUUUUAUUAAAUUAUUUAUCUUAGAUAUUUUUUUUAUAAAAAUUAUUUGUUUUUAAAUCAUUUCACAUGUUAUCUAUUUUAAAUUUUUACAUGCAAUAAUUAACUUUAACUAUUCUAUAUGCUGUUCAUUUUAAAUUUCUAUAUAAUAUUCAUAUUAAAUUGUUUUAAUACAUAUUAUUUCGAUUUUUUUCUUUUUUAUAUCAAUUAUUCUACAUUACCUUAUUUAUUUAUUUUAAACUCUUUUUGUAUAUUGUUUUUUUAAUUGUUUAUUAUUAUAAAUUUAUAUAUAAUGUUCAUUCUUAAACUUCCUUUUUAUAUAUGGAUUAUUUAUUUCCAAAUUUUUAUAUAUUGAUUAUCUUAAACUUUUUUACAUUAUUUAUUUUAUUAUUAAAUUUCUUAUUACAUAUUAUUUAUUUUAGACUUUUUUAUUAAUGAUUUUAAAUUGUUUUAUAUUAUUCACUUUAAAUUGUUUUCUAUAAUAUCUAUUUUAAACCUAUUUUUUAUGUAUUACUUAUUUAAAAUUGUUUCAGUAUUUAUUUUAAAUAGUUUUAUGUUAUUUAUUUCAUUCUCUUGAUUACUAUUGUUGGUAUUUAACUGACGUGUGCCAUGUGAUUAUUGCCCAUGUGUGUUUUAUAAUUCGCUUUUCUGUAUUUUCAUAUCAUUGUUAUUUACUUGUAUAAUAUUGUAUCCAUGCAUUAUUAUUCCAUGCACAUUACUAUAUUCUUAUUUCAUGUCAUCGUAUCGUGUAUUAAGUUUCAACAUGCUUAUCCAAUAUGGAUCAUUUUAUUUUACUCCAAAAAAAAUAAUGCACAUCGUUAAAUAUCAUACUCGCUAUAUUUUAAAAAGAAAAUUUUAAAAAUAAAGGUAAUAAUCUUUUUUUUGGGGAUUCGAGUGAUCAUGCCCUAACGUGCUGGGUUUCGAUUUUUUUGUUUGACCCAGAUAACCGAAUAACCUUUUAAAAUUAAGGUGCAUGAGUUUUGAAAAUCCAAAGACCGGCUUACUCUCGAGGGUUUUAAAAUGUUGUAUCCUACCGUGUUGGAUGUGACAUUUUAUUACUUUGGGACGAGAAGGUCUUUAACAUCUGCUUCGAUUUAUCUAAACAUCUUUGCAAAAUUAACAUUAAUAAAAAGAGGGAUCGUAUUCUAAAUUCUUUUCGAGUUUUUAAAUUUCGACAUUAAAACAUUAAUUAAUCAAUUAGGUACCAAUUUUAGGCGUUACGAGGGUGUUAAUCCUUCCUCGUACGUAACUAACUCCCGAACCCGUUUUCUUGAAUUUCGUAGACCAAAAUUGUUGUUUUAGCAAAAUAAAAUAUUUUGUUAAAACAAUCAAAUUACGAGGUGAUCCGAUCACACCUAAAUAAAAAAAGAUUGGUGAUGACUCCCGUUUUUAUUCGUUUUUAUUUUCAAAACAACGUCGAUUCCCAUUAAAAAAAAUGGUUUCGACAGAUAUGAUAAAUGAUUGUUUGAGGUGUUUGAAUACUUGGUAUUAUUCUCAACGAACUCAUAUGACUUUAAAUCUAAAAAAUAAUAGCAUUUUUUGUUUGUCAUAAUAAAUAUUAAUCCAACCUAAUUUUACAUGAUGCACUAAUUAUCUUGCAAGGUUAAGUAAUCAUUGACUCAUACAUUAUAGCUUUAUUGUUAUUGUAAAAGAGCUAUAUCGACGGUCAGAUUUUAAAUAAGUAAUACUUACAUUUAGUUUUCGAAAAUAAUUUUUAACCAAUGUCAAAUUUCUUUUCACUUCCUACAUUUUUAUAUGAGGUUUUUUUGUCUCCUUUCAAAAUUUUAAAGUCGAGAGAAAGUGUUUCAUUUCAUUCAUCAAAAGUUGUACGUGUUGUUCUCUACUCUCCACAAACAUGCAAAGAUGAGUCAUUCUGCUAGUUGCUAUGCUUCUUAAAGAGGAGUCAAUCCAAAAGCAAAAGAUAAAGAAAUACCGGUUCAAGCGGGUUUUUUCCGGUUUAAUACUAGUUUGAAGCAGUUUACAUAAACCUUUGUAUAAUAGUAGUAGUUGAACUAUUAGAUUUGUUGAUUUGCAAUUGAAGCGAUUCUACUAUUGGAUCUACCUAACCUUCCGUUCUCCGCUAAUCACUGAAUGAACCCUCAUCUUCUUCUACACUAUCCUCUUCAUACCAACAAACUCCUAUGGAUGGUUAAAGUUCAAUGUAAACACCUGUUUUUGUUAGGAAUUUAUAUAUUGACAUUUACGUUACCUUUGAUUUUUUAGUUAUUUGCUAUUCGUUGUCUAAGAUCCUAAUUUGGGAAUUUUAUACCCCAUUUUGCUUACCCACUUCGCUUUUCAGAUUAUUUAUUUAUUUAUUUUAUUCUUAUUUUUUAUUUUUACUUUAAGGUUAACUUAUCAUUUUAAAAUAUAAAGUAGUGUGUUGCAAGUUGACAAUGCUUCCACUUUGGUGGUUGCCUUCUUUGACAUCACUUUGAUGUUCACCUUUACUAGUGCUGGCAAAUAGGCGGGCUCGCAUGAGUUAAACACUCAGAUUUUUUAUAUUGAUUGGAUUCUACAAUUCUAAUUGUAUUAUGAAACUAGAAAAAGAAAAAAGAAAUAGCGUAACAUUUUGUUAAAAGUACAUAAACCUAACUUCCUUAGCUUACGUAAUUAAGAUCUCCCUUGGCCAAUGAUUUUAGUAUUUACGUACAGCAUUUCUAAUUUUGUAUAACUAAAAGUAUCAAACUGAUCUAUAACUAAGUUUAUAGGAAGAAUGAAGCAUUAAUCGGUGUUAGAAACGGUAUUGGACGUUAUUAGUUUAAAUCCUUUGUAUCCGAUGAUAUCCACAUCCAUUUAUGCCUCCUCCAAAUAGUGCAGAAUGUCAUAUGAACUACUUCAUCACCCAGUGAUACCAGAAACACAGAGAAGCCCAUCAAGAUCACCCCAACGUGUCGGCUCUAUCUUCGUGAAACUUGUCUGAAACAUUUUCUAUAAAAGCGGUCCAUCUAGGCACCAUCCUACUUUGAAUUGUGCUAUGCCCCGAAGACUGGAUGUAAGAUUCGGUCUGAUAAUUAUUAGUAGAAGUAGUAAUGUUUGGGCUAACCCCCGAGCUACUAGGACUCAAGAUAGGAGGCUGCGUCGGAAAAGGGAUUUCGCAAGUAUCAUCAGUAAGUAUUUGCACAAUUGUUGACAUUGAUGGUCGCAAUUCUGUUGAGGCUUGUACACAGAGUAGGCCAAUUUGAAGCAAUCUACACGCCUUUUCUCGAAAAUUGUGCUCUGUAACUGGAUCAACAACUUCCCUGAGCUAAUCUGCUUCAUAUUGAUUCCAUACCUUCCAAUUCAAAUAUAUAUAUCUUGCAUCAGUUUAAGACCCCAGAAUUAGAGACAAAAAAAUUAUCACAAAAGCAUAGCGUAGUUGAUAAGCUCUGCAAAAUGAAUUACCAUGUGUAGGAUGCAGACCAUAUCCGGAGAAAAGCACUUGUUCCUCUUCCCGCAAGUAAUUUCAAUAACGAGAACACUGAAACUAUAAACAUUAGCCUUUUGAGUCAACAUGCCACGAACAGCGUAUUCUGGAGCCAUGUAACCUCUAGAGAUGCCAAAUAAUUGAAUUCAUGGUUAGUAAUAUGCAAAUUAAGGUAAUGUGCAACGUUUCAAAUAUUCAUCAACUUACAAAGUGCCAGCGAUGGCGGUGCUGAUGUGAGUCUUAUCUUCCGGAAAAAGUCUAACAAAGCCAAAAUCAGCAAUCCUCGGAUCAUCCAGCCAUGUUCUAAAGAUCAUCUUCCGUAGAAGGAACUGUGGGUGACAGUGGCAAUUGAAUCAUUAUCAGCUCGGUUGAGGGGAUAGCAUUCUUUGUCACUUGUCUCAUUGAAUUCCAUCUUUUCAUCCAAAAAAGGUGGAUUAGUAGGUGCAGGGAGGUCUUCAUCUUUCUUUGUUAGCAAGUGUAGUACCUUCGACAUUGAUGGUCUUAGUGACGGGAUCUCUUGGGUGCAAAGAAGUCCAAUUUGUA
rnacentral:lncRNA from 1 species